UUCAGAAACCUCAUGCAUUUCAGGACAUGGGGUACUCAGGUGUGAAUGUGUGCUGCUUUUGCCACUUUAUGAAUUAAAAAAAGGAAGAAACAAAUGGGGGGAAAAAAGCUGAGAUAUUGGCCAUUUCCUCACAAAUGAGACGUCUGCUUUUCAGUCUGUUCUGCUCGCUGAUGUUUCAGGCCCUGCUUUCUUGCUGAUGAAGCUUUCACAGCCAUUUCCAAGCACCCAAGCCUGCA